GCACUUCCAUCUGUGUGCAUGUGGCCACUUGUGAUGCAAGACAGAGGCAGGACUGAGAAGACGAGAGGUGGGCUUCGUUCCUGAGAAUAUCCAGGAGUCCAAGAGAUCUAAAUUGGAAGAUGGCCUUCCAAUUUAGGUCAGUUUCCAAUUAAGAAGGCCAGGUUUUUAUGAAGCAAUAUUUGUCAAGGCAUGGACAUUCACUUUUGCAGAUGAGGAAACAAGAAUUCAGAGUUGAUUUGCACAUACGAAGCAAAACAAGUGAGAUCCAAGCCUCCAGACUCUACAACAGAUGCUUCCAAUAUCUAUGUCUAAUGAAGUAAACUACUCUGAAAAUCAAAAUGUGUAUUUUUUAAAUUAAUAAAAACUUUCUUUCUA
rnacentral:lncRNA from 1 species